rnacentral:rRNA from 1 species
UGCAAGUCGACGGUAGCACAGAGAGCUUGCUCUCGGGUGACGAGUGGCGGACGGGUCGCAGUAAUGUCUGGGAAACUGCCUGAUGGAGGGGGAUAACUACUGGAAACGGUAGCUAAUACCGCAUAACGUCGCAAGACCAAAGAGGGGGACCUUCGGGCCUCUUGCCAUCAGAUGUGCCCAGAUGGGAUUAGCUAGUAGGUGGGGUAACGGCUCACCUAGGCGACGAUCCCUAGCUGGUCUGAGAGGAUGACCAGCCACACUGGAACUGAGACACGGUCCAGACUCCUACGGGAGGCAGCAGUGGGGAAUAUUGCACAAUGGGCGCAAGCCUGAUGCAGCCAUGCCGCGUGUAUGAAGAAGGCCUUCGGGUUGUAAAGUACUUUCAGCGGGGAGGAAGGUGUUGUGGUUAAUAACCAGCAGCAAUUGACGUUACCCGCAGAAGAAGCACCGGCUAACUCCGUGCCAGCAGCCCGCGGUAAUACGGAGGGUGCAAGCGUUAAUCGGAAUUACUGGGCGUAAAGCGCACGCAGGCGGUCUGUCAAGUCGGAUGUGAAAUCCCCGGGCUCAACCUGGGAACUGCAUUCCGAAACUGGCAGGCUAGAGUCUUGUAGUAGGGGGGUAGCAUUCC